AUUGAAGAAAAGAAACUGUAAAAUUGCAUUUCUACUUAUAGAGGACAUGGACAUUUCGUUAAGAUGAAACACUUGCUGAGAGUAAUAUAUAUUGGAUUUUUUUAGUUGUGUGAUGUAUUUUCUCAGACCAGAACUUCACUACAACCACCACAACUGUGUCGAUCACCAAAUCUGCUGCCACUAUCAGUGGCCCUUCUGAUUCUGCUCCACAAACAGGUAACUUAUCUUUCAUUGAUGAGAAGAAGACCUGGGUCGCUGCACUGAAAUACUGUAUGGAUUAUUACUCUACGUUAGUGCACAUCACUAACGAAAGUAUGCAAACAGCAGUCGAGCAACUGAUGAUCAAGGAGACCUUUCCUAGCAGUGGAGUGUGGAUUGGCUUGGAGCGGUCCUUCCUGGACUGCAAUGGGUCCUGGUUCUGGACAGGUCUCUCAGAGGCUGGCUUUACCCAAUGGGAUGAUGAGUAUAAAUCUAGGCCAGCAAAAUACUACUGUGGCAAGAUAAUCCGCACAGACAACAAUCAACUGAGGUGGCAGGAUGGCUGCUGUGAGGAUCAGCUGCCCUUUAUCUGUCAGGGUGCCUCUUCUGGCUGACCAUGCAGGCACAGCAGGAUGUAGCGCCUGAGCCUGUUGCUGGCAUGACCCCUUGCCUACCUUACAUGAAAAAAUUUCCACCAGUCCUUCACUAAACAUGUCAAUGCUCCCAUUUCUGCAAAAUACACUCCAGAAUAUACAUUGUUUCUAACUUUACUGUAGUAUGUAUGUUAGAUUUUUAAAUCAAAUUUUAAUGUACUUGAGUUAUGAAACUCUGAAUCAAUGUAACAUUUUUAAUCGGUAAUUUACUGCCUUAACUCGGUAAAAUCCGGCAGGAUCAACAAAUAGGACUUUGUUUUGAAAUGUUGUUUGUUGUUUAAUUAAAAUAAAGACAAUGCAAUUGUAAUACGAUUUACCACCUUUAUGAAGCUGUAUGGAAUUAUUAACAGCUUUGCUUCUUUAAAUAUAAAAAACUAAUUAACCUUC